rnacentral:tRNA from 1 species
GGGCCUGUAGCUCAGUUGGCAGAGCACUUCCCUUUCGCGAAACCCUCGUCCGGCUCCGGCCGGGCCGAUGUGAAAGGGUUACCGAUUACUCCUCGAGAGGUCGCGGGUUCGAGUCCCGCCAGGUCCACCU